UCGAAGGUAGCAUAAUCAGUAGUUUUUUAAUUGAAAACUUGUAUGAAUGGUUCAACGAAAUAUUUACUGUCUCUUAAAAAUUUAAUUAGAAUUUAAUUUUUUAGUUAAAAAGCUAAAAUAUUAUUAAAAGACGAGAAGACCCUAUAGAGUUUUAUAUAAUUUUAUUUAAUAUUUAUUUAUAAUUUUUAAAAUUUUAUUUAAGUUUAUAUUUUGUUGGGGUGACAAUAAAAUUUAAUAAUCUUUUAUUAAUUUUUAACAUAAAUUUAUGAAUAUUUGAUCCAUUAUUAUUGAUUAUAAGAUUAAAUUACCUUAGGGAUAACAGCGUAAUUUUUUUGAAGAGUUCAAAUCGAUAAAAAAUUUUGCGACCUCGAUGUUGGAUUAA
rnacentral:rRNA from 1 species